AUUGAACGCUGGCGGCAUGCCUUACACAUGCAAGUCGAACGGUAACAGGUCUUCGGAUGCUGACGAGUGGCGAACGGGUGAGUAAUACAUCGGAACGUGCCUAGUAGUGGGGGAUAACUACUCGAAAGAGUGGCUAAUACCGCAUGAGAUCUACGGAUGAAAGCAGGGGAUCGCAAGACCUUGCGCUACUAGAGCGGCCGAUGGCAGAUUAGGUAGUUUGUGGGAUAAAAGCUUACCAAGCCGACGAUCUGUAGCUGGUCUGAGAGGACGAUCAGCCACACUGGGACUGAGAAACGGCCCAGACUCCUACGGGAGGCAGCAGUGGGGAAUUUUGGACAAUGGGCGCAAGCCUGAUCCAGCAAUGCCGCGUGCAGGAUGAAGGCCUUCGGGUUGUAAACUGCUUUUGUACGGAACGAAAAGCCCCGGGUUAAUACCCUGGGGUCAUGACGGUACCUGAAGAAUAAGCACCGGCUAACUACGUGCCAGCAGCCGCAGUAA
rnacentral:rRNA from 1 species